rnacentral:lncRNA from 1 species
GCAAAUUCUAAAUCCAAAUGAAUUUUAAUUUUAAAUGCCAAACUCUUUUCAAAUUUUAUAGAAUAUUGCUAAAUAAGCUAGGAAUAAUAUUAAGUAUGGAUCAAUCGAUCAAUAUCCAUAUUUAUCUUAUAAUUAAUUAAAAAUUUUAUAUCCAUACCAUUUAGUAUCUGCCUUGGAUCAGAUCAGAUUGAAUUGGAUCAACUCGAUAAAAGAGGAAG